UGUCCAGGGAUGGGAUUCGAACCCACAGUGUUCCGCUUACCGGGCAGAUGCCAUGUCCACUAGGCUAUACCCUGGAC
rnacentral:tRNA from 1 species